rnacentral:rRNA from 1 species
CAUCGUUGCCCUUGCGCCUUGGCCUUGUGCAAGGCACUGAGCGGGGCGAAUGUUGGCUUCCCGUGAGCAACGUCUCACGGUUGGUUGAAAACUGAGUCCGCGGUGGAGGGCACCGUGAUGGAUGGUGGAUGAGUUAAAGCUCGAGACCGAUCGUGCGUGUCACCCCCACUAGCUUUGCGACUCUGUGACCCAUGUGGUCUGUUGGCCACCUAUGACGGGA